GUGGGGAAUAUUGGACAAUGGGGGCAACCCUGAUCCAGCAAUGCCGCGUGGGUGAAGAAGGCCUUAGGGUUGUAAAGCCCUUUCACCGGGGACGAUGAUGACGGUACCCGGAGAAGAAGCCCCGGCUAACUCCGUGCCAGCAGCCGCGGUAAGACGGAGGGGGCUAGCGUUGUUCGGAAUUACUGGGCGUAAAGCGCGCGUAGGCGGUUCGUCGAGUCGGGCGUGAAAGCCCGGGGCUCAACCCCGGAACUGCGCUCGAUACUGGCGGACUAGAGACCGGGAGAGGAGAGUGGAAUUCCCAGUGUAGAGGUGAAAUUCGUAGAUAUUGGGAAGAACACCGGUGGCGAAGGCGGCUCUCUGGCCCGGCCCUGACGCUGAGGCGCGAAAGCGUGGGGAGCAAACAGG
rnacentral:rRNA from 1 species